UCGUGCAGCUGCACUCUAUCCUGGGCGACAGAGUGAGACUCCAUCUCAAACAAACAAAAAUCCUAUCCUGAUUCCUAAAGAUUCGCUUCAAGGCCCAGGAAAAUGGGUGUUAAGUAUCUCCACCCCCAGGAAUCUUCACUGGAGUCUCCUUACCUGACCAGGAGUGAGACCAGCAAUUUCAGGUGUCCCUGUCCCUGGGGCAUAGGCAGGAUCCAGAGCGUCAAUAUCAAAGCUGAUAUAAAUGGGUUUGCCUCCCAUCUGCUGCCUGACUUCUGCCAUCAGAGGAACCAGCGACUUCAUCCAGCAGUCUUCAGCCAGAACUACUCGGAAGCCCUGUGGAGACAGGGACUGAGGCUUCUGCCUGGCAGCAUUUACAGGGCGCUUCCUGUUUGCCAGCCCCUUGCUCAGCUCUAUGUGCACAUCACACUUGACCCUCCAUCUCCGUGAGGAGGGAACUAUCAUCCUAUUUUCCAGAGACAGGAUGAGAAUCAAGGGUGGUGGCACAGGCGAGCUUGGCUGAAGGCUCAACUAAACCAAGACAUACCCUUUCUCCGACCGAGGAAGAGGAAGCUUCAAUCCAGCUCUCUCCAUAACCUCCAUCAACCCCUGCCAGUCACCCAAAAUAAACGUAUGAUCCAAAUCCGUGAGAAA